CAGGAGACCUGGGUUUGAUCCCUGGGUUGGGAAGACCCCCUGGAGAAAGGAAUGGCUAUCCACUCUAAUACUCUAGUAUUCUUUCCUGGAGAAGCACCAGAGAUGCAGACCCUACUCUGCUUACAUUCCAAGGACCCACCCUCUGGAUAACUUUUCUCUUAAAACGAUGUUGCGAAUUUCCUGGCAGUCCAUCGGUUAGUACUCCACGCUCUCCCUUACAAAGACUCCAGUUGAUCCCUGGUGGGGGAAGUAAGAUUCCCAAUGCCACUGUGGCCUAAAAUAAAUAAAUAAAUAACACUGCAUGUUUAGGAAGCUUUUGUUGGUCACACUAGUGGUGUGUAUUAAGUGGCUCUUCAUGGCCCCUAUUACCACACUCAGUUGACACAACUGCUGCCCAAAAGGGAGAAAGAGUUUUUUUUGAGCACCUCCCCGCGUCGGGGGCGUGGCCUCUUUCAAUCUUCCCAACCACUAUGGGGAGUGGGUGGAGCUUUCCAUUUCACAGAGGAGGUAACUGAGGCUCAGAAGGUAAGCUACUUGGCCUCAGGAGGUUAAAACUAAGAUUUGAACCCUCAUAUAUCUCACUCCACAACCUUUGCCACUACCCUCCACCCGCAUAUACCCAAAGAAAACAAACAAAAAAUUUGGCUUUUUACUUCAUCUCAGAGUCUUCAUUACAGACAAGGGUGUGGUUUUUACUCUUUUCUGUUAGUCUUUGGAAAAUUGAAAGCAGCGCAGUACCUCGGGUAGCUGCCUGACCUCAUCCUGGUGGAAGGGAUCCUCACACCCCUAAAGCGUCCAUCCCCUCCCCAGCCACCGCCGUCUAUAGACGCCCCCGUCGGUCUCCUCCAGCCCCUCCCUCCGGCCGCCCACCCCCUCGCUCAGCCCCCCUUCCACCCCUCCCAGGCCUCCAGACCCGCUGUCCCGGCUCAGACCCCAGGUCCCUGGCGGGAGUUUCCUGUCCCCAGCGCCCGUACUUUCCAUGACAUAAAAGGAAGUCGGCUGAGCAAGGGCUGGGUUUUCCAGGCCGCCCGGCCCUGGGUGGAGGCCGAAGGUGGGGGUGAGGAGGGGGUUAUCACCCCCCAACCCCCACCCAGGGCCGUGUCAGUACCUCGUCGGCCUCCGCGGGAGAAGCGCCUGCCUGCGCUGCCCGGGCCCACACCAGGCGGCUGCUUCCUCUUCCCUUUGAGGACUUUUGCUGUGUUAUGAUAGAUGGAGAGCCUAGGAGGUGGAGAUCUUUGCUCUGUAUCCUUGGCCGCAGCCUCCUCUCUUGAAGCCUCCCAUCUGGAAAACUGGCAAAGCAGAACCUCUCUGGAUGGAUGUUGUGAGGUUGGCUGAGUGCCCUGUGGGAAAGGUACAAAGUGGGUCGUCAGCACAGUUGGCUUCACGGCACCAGGGUCUCCAGCUUGAUAGGGCAACAUUCAGCGUUUCUAAAGUCCUGGUGCUUGUUGGAAACGUUUCUGUUUCUUUCUUUUGUUCUCCAAUCCAUCCUUUCUCUCCCAGCACUGGCACACAGCUCUUUAUUGAAUGAAUAAAUGAAUGACAGGGAGGCUUUGAGCAUGGGCACAGGAAAGAGACUGACCAGCACACACCAUUUCCUACCUCCAAGCACUGAGUUUCCAGUCUAGCUGGGGAGACCAUCCAACAGGCAGCCGGGACUAUGCAUGAGCCUAAUCUCUGGGAAAGUCAAGGAAGGCUUCCUGGAGGGAGUGACAUCCAAGCUGACACCUGAAGAAUGAGCAGGAGUUUGCUGCUUUGGUGGUGAGAUUGGUUUUCCACACUGAGGGGAAAGGCUUCUGGGUCCUUUUAGCACAAUAACCAUGUUACUACUGGUGAGAAGGGUCUAGAAGUUGGGGGAGUUGGGUGUCAGUCCUGACUCAGCUUUUUAUAGGCUCUGUAUCUGGGGAUGUCUCCCCCUACCCCAGGAUGGUCCCUUAGAUUCGUCGAUCUGGAUUGGGAUCUUAUUUAAAGGAUACCAUCGAAAACAACCUGAAAAAUCAAUAUAGCCUUUUUUAGAAGGAUAAAAUGGCAAAAGUCACAUUUUUUAAAAAAAAUACACUUACACAGUGUUAUUUUUAGAGAGCUCUCAUGUGUUCCUCAGUGUGCAAAUCAAUAUAUGCAAGGGUAUUAGGCCACCGAGGGAUAAUGAAAAAUAGGACAAAAGGCAAAUAGGUUUCACUCCAACUCUAUUCUGGAAUAUGAUACAGUGAAGAGAGAGGACACAGAUCUCAGCAUACCAACUUAGAGAGAUAGCCGUUNNNNNNNNNNNNNNNNNNNNNNNNNNNNNNNNNNNNNNNNNNNNNNNNNNNNNNNNNNNNNNNNNNNNNNNNNNNNNNNNNNNNNNNNNNNNNNNNNNNAGAGGACACAGAUCUCAGCAUACCAACUUAGAGAGAUAGCCGUUCUGCUUAGCGACAUUUCAGAACAAUUUUUGUAUUGCCAUCUUAUUUUCAUAACAUAAAAAUAUGAGCGAAUUGAACAACCAGAUAUGUUUCUACAUUCACAGAAAAAGGUUUUGCUUAAUAUUCAUCAAAAUAAUAAUAACAGAGAUGAAUUAUGGGGGACAAGGCUUGGUAGAAAUGGAAAAUGAGGUUGAGUCCAGUUUUUGUUUUUGUUAUGCACCUCUGUAUUGUUUAGUUUUAUUUUUCAAAAAAUGUGUAUUAUGAUUUUAUGAUAAAUUUAAUAACAUAAGAGGGAUUUGCAGAAAACCUUUUUUAAAAGUUCCAUGUAUUUGUUUGUAUAAUUAUAUAUAACAUAUAACUUUUUUAUAAUAUGAUUUU
ensembl:lncRNA